CCUCUGUCUGUACAUACGCAAACAAGUGCCUCAGUUUUUAAGACAUCAAUCUUAAAUUUCAGAUCCUUUUCUACCCCAAAAUCUACUCAUAUAUGUAUGUAGCUGGCAUAUAUGUAUGUAGUUCCCAUACAAACGGAACGAUCGGAACCAAUCGGAUUUAUCUCUCAUUACAUUUGAUCCAGCGUUGCACCAACUUGCUCAACCCGUCUAAAGAAUACGUUUUCUGGAUGUCUGUAAAGUAGAUCUCCGUGGUAGCUUAAUUCGACUUAAAUUUUUAUUCGGAGAGUGAUUAUUGGAAAUAGAAAGUAAUUGCACGGUGCUAAAACGGCAGAAUACCAUAGAUAUGUCAGAAAGAGAUAACUUCAUUAGAUCAAUUUGGCAGUGGUGACGGCAGUCACAAACAUUACUGUUUCUUCUGCAAGUCAAUGACGAAUAAAGUGAAUAAUUCGGCAUAGCAAAGGUCUGUGAACGCUUUGCUCAUCUCUAGGCAAUCGAAGUGGAUCACAUCUUGUGCUAGAAAGCGGUGAACAGUGAUUUCCAGAUGAUAGGAUAGUCUUCGACUCUUUCGGAGCAGGUUCGCUUGGUCAAUGCCACUUUUUCGAUCGCUUUUUGAACUCUGAUGUUCAGUGAAAUUAUGUUUCGUCAACGGUCGCGACUCCACGCAAAAACCCCUUUGGAUUACAUUUAAACAGCGUCAAACACGAUUGCGCUUGUUGUCGGAAGUGAGCGAAUGCAGAACCCCACCGCCGAUAUCGGCAUGAAAUGUUGGAUGUGAGAUAUUUCAGCCAGCAUAUGACCCACAGUUGUGUUUUAAAUGCCCAUUAACUAAACUAUCUCAUGCACCUUGAAUUGCCGUUUUCGGAGCACCUGAGCGUGUUUCAUCAAAAACUGACCUGUACCAACGUGUAGACAUAGUGAAAUAGUACUAAAUACAGCCUAAAAAUGUAAUGUAUGUAGGAUACAAUAUUUGUGGCAGAAAGUUAUCCUUAAACAAUUUUUAUUGGCAAUAAAGUCAUAAAUUAUGUGACCACGUGGGAGUCGCGACGAAGUGAAAAUAAGCAGCAAAAGAAAAAAGAGCAAAAAACGCAAUAAAUAAAAGCUUAAGCGUCUAAAACUUCAAGUGCAGCUGCAACAUAGAAACUCAUUAAAAGUAAAAGUAGGGACACCAAAUAGGGAUGGUCAGUACAGAAAAGUGAAUGUAGAAUGUCAGAAAUUAAGCUACUUUGGGGAUGGUUGAUAUCCAUACAAUAUAAAUACAAAUUUCAUCGCGAGUGUUUAUAAAAAGUCUGCUGAGCUAUUUCUUGAAUUUAAGGUCCAAUUGAAAAUUUCAAAAACUCAUUUCUUGUGAUGUACAUUACAAGUGGAUUAAUUAU